UGGGGAAUUUUGGACAAUGGGCGAAAGCCUGAUCCAGCAAUGCCGCGUGUGUGAAGAAGGCCUUCGGGUUGUAAAGCACUUUUGUCCGGAAAGAAAUCCUUGGCUCUAAUACAGUCGGGGGAUGACGGUACCGGAAGAAUAAGCACCGGCUAACUACGUGCCAGCAGCCGCGGUAAUACGUAGGGUGCAAGCGUUAAUCGGAAUUACUGGGCGUAAAGCGUGCGCAGGCGGUUUGCUAAGACCGAUGUGAAAUCCCCGGGCUCAACCUGGGAACUGCAUUGGUGACUGGCAGGCUAGAGUAUGGCAGAGGGGGGUAGAAUUCCACGUGUAGCAGUGAAAUGCGUAGAGAUGUGGAGGAAUACCGAUGGCGAAGGCAGCCCCCUGGGCCAAUACUGACGCUCAUGCACGAAAGCGUGGGGAGCAAACAGGAUUAGAUACCCUGGUAGUCCACGCCCUAAACGAUGUCAACUAGUUGUUGGGGAUUCAUUUCCUUGUAACGUAGCUAACGCGUGAAGUUGUCCGCCUGGGGAGUACGGGUCGCAAGAUUAAAACUCAAAUGAAUUGACGGGGUCAUAGCUGUUUCC
rnacentral:rRNA from 1 species